rnacentral:ncRNA from 1 species
UGAGCGACUAUGAGAAGGAAUAGUAGGUUUUGAAGCUUUUAAGAGAGCUAGCGGUUGGUGUGAGCUAGUAAGUAGAAAAAUCGAACUCGCCUAGGAGUCUGUUUUAGUGAAAUUAGCUAAAACCGUUUUUCCGCGUUAAGGAAUUGAGCUGAGUGCUAGUCACUAACUUGGGUGGUACCGCGGGAGUAAAAUAUUCUCGUCCCUUCU